AUGUUGUUAAUGGGGUUCUCUGCAAAGAGUUGUACAAAAUCAAUGUUCGGACAAACGGCUAUAACUUCUUAUACAACAAAUAAAUAAAUACGGUCUACGUGGUGGGUCUGUCUUAUACAUAUAUAUAUAUAUAUACGGGGGUUUAGGAGAAAAGAAACAAACAAACAAAUACAAGAGUAAAUUUAUACGUAGACAUGGAGAGAUCAAGAGGAAUAAAUGAAGGGAGGGAGAUAGGGUUAGGGUGGUGGGUGCGAGAGGAGAGGGUCAUGUGAAGUCUCAUCAUGAGUCCAACUUUGUGCAUGCGCUUCGAUUUCCUACAUUGGCAGAUAGAUACCUCCCACGUAGCCUCCCCCCUCCCCUAUGCCCUUUGCUUUGCUUUGCUUUACUCGC
rnacentral:lncRNA from 1 species